UUUCCUCCGCAAGGUUCGUCCACGGAGGGUGAGUCAGGGCCUAAGAUCAGGCCGAAAGGCGUAGUUGAUGGACAACAGGUCAAUAUUCCUGUACUACCCCUUGUUGGUACGGAGGGACGGAGGAGGCUAGGUUAGCCAAAAGAUGGUUAUAGGUUUAAGGACACAAGGUGACCCUGCUUUUUCAGAAGAUGGUUCGGUUGCUCCUGCUGGAAUAUUCCAUUUAUUUAAUACUCCGACUCGCGUAACCCCGAA
rnacentral:ncRNA from 1 species